GAUGAACGCUGGCGGCGUGCCUAAUACAUGCAAGUCGAGCGAACAGAUGAGGAGCUUGCUCCUCUGACGUUAGCGGCGGACGGGUGAGUAACACGUGGAUAACCUACCUAUAAGACUGGGAUAACUUCGGGAAACCGGAGCUAAUACCGGAUAAUAUAUUGAACCGCAUGGUUCAAUAGUGAAAGACGGUUUUGCUGUCACUUAUAGAUGGAUCCGCGCCGCAAUAGCUAGUUGGUAAGGUAACGGCUUACCAAGGCAACGAUGCGUAGCCGACCUGAGAGGGUGAUCGGCCACACUGGAACUGAGACACGGUCCAGACUCCUACGGGAGGCAGCAGUAGGGAAUCUUCCGCAAUGGGCGAAAGCCUGACGGAGCAACGCCGCGUGAGUGAUGAAGGUCUUCGGAUCGUAAAACUCUGUUAUUAGGGAAGAACAAAUGUGUAAGUAACUAUGCACGUCUUGACGGUACCUAAUCAGAAAGCCACGGCUAACUACGUG
rnacentral:rRNA from 1 species